CGUGGCGGCAGUCACUGCCGUCACUUAGUCGCUGAUCAAGCUUUGGACUAAGGGCCCACGGUCACUCGAGUAGGACUUGGAUCGGAUGCUGAAUAAAACUCACCGUGAAGCAAGUCCCACUGAACGAAAAGUUGGUCGUAGCAUUUCUCAGCAGCUGCUUCCGGCUCCCUGAGACCCAGCCAUGGAAGGCACAGAAAGGCAUGUGACAAGAAACUCAUGGCUUUUAAUCCUGGCAGGACAAGGAAAACCCCGUCAAAGAUUUGCAUAAAUUUUGCUGCUCUCCUGCUGGGG
rnacentral:antisense_RNA from 1 species